GGGCAGGGUCACCUCCUGUGACCUGCUGGCAGUGCUCCUCGUAAUGCACCCCAGGACACCAUUGGCCUUCCGGGCCACUAGGGCAUACCAAUGGUUGUCUUAAUUCAGCCUCAUGCUUUGAUACCAAUUUGGCUUCAUCAAAUCUUAGUGCAGUCAUUGAAAUAUUGGAUAAAGAAACUGAAACAUCUUGCUUUCAGGAAACCUUUCUCAACCAACACAAGAAAACUACUUAUUGCCCUGGAGACUGAGUUUCAUUAUGGUCAGUGGAGAGAUCUCAUUGUGAACCCUUACAGCUGGUACACCAAAGGGAAGCUGAGUGGAGUGAAUCAUCAUUAAAAACUUCUAUUCACUCAUCUCCAAAUGCCAGUGAGCACCAUCGCAGUAUAUCAGUAUCACACACACCUGUCUGAGAAGACACCGACUGACACUGAAUGUAAAGUAACUUAGCACGAAACUGCGACAGAAUCAUCUCCCCCUUUCUUAACUGCCCUUCAGCAACAAAUCUGGGAACCAAGAUCUCAGAACCGGACUGAGAAAAUCGUAACAGGGUUACAGGGAACGAGAUGAGGGUGACAGGCCAGAUCCUGUCUGAUUGCUGCAAAACGUGGACUGUGUCAAAGUUUUCCUGAGAAAGGAUGUUCUGUGGUUGAUCUUUUUAAGUUUCAAGCCCAAGAAGUAAGAGAGGCCAUGAAACUUGUUGGCCCUGUUAAGGUUUAGGGCUGGAUGUGUCUCAAUGAUCUCAGCCCUGGGGAAGGGUAUCACACCUUGGGUGGAAGGAUUUCCACUGGCAGUGAGCACAGGGAAUGCAGAAUUUAGGGCUCACACAGACAUCUGGCAGAACUCCCAAGAUGAGGAAAGCACUAGUAAAGGCAGCUCAGGACCUGGGCUGAAUCAGCUCCCACUGGAUACAGGCUGAUUCCAGCAGGGGUAGAUCGUGAGCACUGACCCCAGAAACCCCCCAACCCAAAGGAAGAAGAGAAAGACUGAGCAUGGGAUCAAGUAGCAUGAGAAGUAAGAGAGUCAUUAAACAAUGGAAUAUAAAGUAUAAAGAGAGAGUGAUUAGACAUUGGAAUGGGCUGCCCAGAGAGGUGGUGGAGUCACCAUCCCUGGAGGUUUAAGAAGAGGCUGGAUGUGGACUCAGUGCCAUGGUCUGUUGACAAGGUGGUGUUGGGUCAUAGGUUGGACUCAGUGACCUUAGAGGUCUUUUCCAAUCUAACUGAUCCUGUGAUUCUGUAAUUAACAACAGAACUAUGUAACUUGUAGCCAAUGGACAUUAACACCUUUGUUUGCUGAAGUGUAUAAACAGUGACAGCUUUAGACAGUCGGUGUGCUGGAUUUGUGGAAGCGUCCACCUUCCACCCCCUGCAGAAGA